rnacentral:rRNA from 1 species
CAGGGAUGCCCUAGUAACGGCGAGUGAAGCGGCAACAGCUCAAAUUUGAAAUCUGGCGUCUUUGGCGUCCGAGUUGUAAUUUGCAGAGGGCGCUUUGGCAUUGGCAGCGGUCCAAGUUCCUUGGAACAGGACGUCACAGAGGGUGAGAAUCCCGUACGUGGUCGCUAGCCUUUACCGUGUAAAGCCCCUUCGACGAGUCGAGUUGUUUGGGAAUGCAGCUCUAAAUGGGAGGUAAAUUUCUUCUAAAGCUAAAUACUGGCCAGAGACCGAUAGCGCACAAGUAGAGUGAUCGAAAGAUGAAAAGCACUUUGGAAAGAGAGUUAAAAAGCACGUGAAAUUGUUGAAAGGGAAGCGCUUGCAGCCAGACUUGCCUGUAGUUGCUCAUCCGGGUUUUUACCCGGUGCACUCUUCUAUAGGCAGGCCAGCAUCAGUUUGGGCGGUUGGAUAAAGGUCUCUGUCAUGUACCUCUCUUCGGGGAGAACUUAUAGGGGAGACGACAUGCAACCAGCCUGGACUGAGGUCCGCGCAUCUGCUAGGAUGCUGGCGUAAUGGCUGUAAGCGGCCCGUCUUGAAACACGGACCAAGGAGUCUAACAUCUAUGCGAGUGUUUGGGUGUCAAGCCCGAGCGCGUAAUGAAAGUGAACGGAGGUGGGAACCCCUCGGGGUGCACCAUCGACCGAUCCUGAUGUCUUCGGAUGGA